CGUAGGGUGCAGGCGUUAAUCGGAUUACUGGGCGUAAAGCGUGCGCUAGGCGGUCUUUUAAGUCAGAUCGUGAAAUCCCCGGGCUUAACCUGGGAACUGCGUUUGAAACUGGAAGGCUUGAGUGUGGCAGAGGGGGGUGGAAUUCCACGUGUAGCAGUGAAAUGCGUAGAGAUGUGGAGGAACACCGAUGGCGAAGGCAGCCCCCUGGGCUAACACUGACGCUCAUGCACGAAAGCGUGGGGAGCAAACAGGAUUAGAUACCCUGGUAGUCCACGCCCUAAACUAUGUCAACUGGUUGUCGGGGAAGACAAUUCCUUGGUAACGAAGCUAACGCGUGAAGUUGACCGCCGAGGGGAGUACGGCCGCAAAGGUUA
rnacentral:rRNA from 1 species